CCAAGUCACACUGAGAAGUAAAUCGAGUCAGGGAGAAGGUACAGCAGCAGUAGCGGGUAUAGCCCACUGCUUCAGAAGAGUUGGUUGGGCAGAGAAGGGGAACUUACAGCUGGGAAGCUGGAGCAUAUGAAUUUAGUCUACUCAAGGCAUUCAUCUCCCUACAGUUAGAGAGUGGGGGAGGGAUGAAGAUUCUUUCCAGAUGUGGGAGAGUGCAAGCUGGAGCCUGUGCCAGGAUUCGGUCAUAUCUGAUGAGCUAGUGGGGAAAUCCCCCAGGAACCGGGGAGCCUGCCUCUCUUGAGCCAAGCAUGCUGGAAGAAACUUGGUUAAUGCCUAUCCUGUGGGGAUCGAACAAGACUUUCCAGGCAGGAGCCUGGAUGUGGCAAGUACAUGCUGAGACCAAAAAAUGAAAGAACAAAGGAGAAACUCAGUUAAUACUAAAACUUGAGGUUCUGACUAGAAGAGCCAGAGAAGACAGAUCUUUGCAGCUGGACAUCCGGAAGAGUUUUGACAUGAGAGCAAGAAAUACGUCUCCCCCUUGACAGGAACAAUGUGUGAUGUGAAAGACCUCAGGUGCUGUGCUGGGUUUUGACAGUUCAGAAGAAAGCACCUCCUGCCUGCUCUGUUCAAUCCCAGUCCAGAAAGGUGUCUGACAUAUGUUAAAUCCAAGAAUCAUGGCCACAAACAAGAUUGGAGAAUCCUUUGCUUCAUGAGAGCUCUCAUCAGUCAUGUCCAACACAAAGUACCGAGGCCAGGAGGCAAAGGACAGAGGUCCAGGUCCAGCUCAGCGACUCUCCAAGAGACCCCAGGAUCUUCAGCCUCUCUGCACCUCAGUGCCUUCCACUGCAACAUGGAGAUCAUAAUAUCUGCUCCUUCUGCCUCACUGGAUGGUUAUGAGAACAUGACAAGAAAAUAGAUGCGGAAGGUUUCUAAAAAUGUUAAAGACCAUGCUGAAGGAAUCAUUUUUAUUAUUACAGAUAUCUUUAUAGUUGAGCUGCUCAUAUUUGUGUUUAAUUUUUUAAAUCUUCCUUCCUCUACAUGCUCAUGAUCCAGGACCAAAGCCAGAUUGGCCUCCUACCCCAGCUAAAGGAAUAUCCAUCCUGGCAGAACUGCCAAGUGCCAGCCUCCUUGGAGCUUAAUCAUUUGCUUGGUCUGCAAACAUUCUGGUUACAGGUGGCGAGUGACAAGUUAAGUUACAGGAGAAUGGCUGGCAAAUAGUUACUCCCUGAUACAGUUCCUAUGCCUGAAGCCACUGAGAGUGGAAACAGUAGGGUCUUCUCCCCAGAGGCCUAUGCUUCUCUAUGGCAUCCCUAAGACAUUAAGUCUAGAAUAGGCCCCUGUUUUGUCUAGAAUAGGCCCAGGGAGGAAGCGACUAGUGGGGAGCAGCCAGCCAGUGGCCCACAUUGCCCAGGCAGGAACCUGGCCUCCUGACUUCCAGGCCAAUGCUCCCUCCACUCCUCACAUCUCUCUAUGGAUCGAUGGAUAGAUCGAUGGAUGGAGGCUGUAGUAGCUGGUGCUUUGCCUCUCUUUGUUUUCUGUUGCCAAGGUAACUAAGUGAACGCAAAACAGAAACAGCCCAUGAGGUCUUGCUGACUCUACCCAUGAGGCUGGAUGAUCCCAAUCUCAACCAGAGCGCCAUAGCCAGGCUGAUCCAUUAGGGCUGAAGCACGGGUUUGGAGUCAGGGCCCCCUGAGGAGAAAUGCCUGAGCUGUGUGGCAGUCCAUAUUCUCUGAACACUUUUCCUGGGCAGACAAGAUGUUGAAGCUGGGAUGAGAUGGGGGCCAGAAGACGAGAGAUUGAAAUUUCUUGAGUGUGCCGAUUGUCAGUAUGUGACAAAGCUGAAAUUGUCUGAGGCCUGGCUUCUGGCUGUCCGUCCUUGCUUACUAGGAGCAUCUCUAGAAUGAGAGAGCAAGGAGAGAGCCUCUAGCCUUCACCUCAGAAACCUGUGCCUCUAGCUUUCCUGCUUCCUUCCAAGACGGACCUAAUGUGAUACCAUGAGAAUGAGGGCAAGGUCAUCCGAUAAGCAGGCAGCCCCAUGUGGGCAGAAGAGAAGGGAAAUAGAAAAAAAGAGAGGUGUGCUGAGCAGACCAUCCCACAGAUGUCCACUGCAAAAUCUCCCUCCAACUUCAAGGCCCCACUCGAUGAUGACCUUCUCCAACGAUAGAAGAAAAUAACACUUUCCGCCUCUCCGCUCUCCCAGUUUUUAUCAUCUGUACCUCCCUUGUGCACUUAGCACCUGUUUACCAUGUAUUCACCAUUUGAAUAACUUUUAUUACACAAAUACUAAUAUAUGUACAUUGAAUGAAAAAUUAGAAACACAAACACCCACAAAGAAGAAAAUAAAAAUCAUUCUUAAAUCUGCCAUCUGGAAAAAAAAAAUCACUGUUAGCAUGUGGGGGUGUUAUCACUAUUUAGGUUCACGUCUCUUUUCUCUGCCUGCAUUCAGCUCUGCAAAAGCCAAGUCCACAUCUCGCCCCCUCUCUGUGUACCCCCACAGCCGCCACUAUGCUUCCAUUCCACGAGGACUCAGUUCCUGCAUUUUCAAUAAGUGGAUGACUAAACAAAGGAAUAAACAAAUGGA